UACGGGGGGAGCAAGCGUUGUUCGGAUUUACUGGGCGUAAAGGGCGCGUAGGCGGCGUGACAAGUCACUUGUGAAAUCUCCGGGCUUAACUCGGAACGGUCAAGUGAUACUGUCGUGCUAGAGUACAGAAGGGGCAACUGGAAUUCUCGGUGUAGCGGUGAAAUGCGUAGAUAUCGAGAGGAACACCUGCGGCGAAGGCGGGUUGCUGGGCUGAUACUGACGCUGAGAC
rnacentral:rRNA from 1 species